AGCAGCCGCGGUAAUUCCAGCUCCAAUAGCGUAUAUUAAAGUUGUUGCAGUUAAAAAGCUCGUAGUUGAAUUUCGGGGUCAGUAGGUCGGUCGUGCCACUGGUAUGAACUGGUUUUACUGAUUCCUCCCUCUUGAAGAACUGUAAUGCCAUUAAUUUGGUGUUGCAGGGAAUCAGGACUGUUACUUUGAAAAAAUUAGAGUGUUUAAAGCAGGCUUUAGCUUGAAUACAUUAGCAUGGAAUAAUGAAAUAGGACGUUUGAUCCUAUUUUGUUGGUUUCUAGGAUUGACGUAAUGAUUAAUAGGGAUAGUUGGGGGCAUUAGUAUUCAAUUGUCAGAGGUGAAAUUCUUGGAUUUAUUGAAGACUAACUACUGCGAAAGCAUUUGCCAAGGAUGUUUUCAUUAAUCAAGAACGAAAGUUAGGGGAUCGAAGACGAUCAGAUACCGUCGUAGUCUUAACCAUAAACUAUGCCGACUAGGGAUCGGAGAUGUUAAUUCUUUAAGAAGGGA
rnacentral:rRNA from 1 species